CAGCAGCCGCGGUAAAACGGAGGGUGCUAGCGUUGUUCGGAAUCACUGGGCGUAAAGGGCGCGUAGGCGGCCUGUUAAGUCGGAUGUGAAAGCCCGGGGCUCAACCCCGGAACUGCAUCCGAGACUGGCAGGCUUGAGACCGGGAGAGGAGGGUGGAAUAUCCAGUGUAGAGGUGAAAUUCGUAGAUAUUGGAUGGAACACCGGUGGCGAAAGCGGCUCUCUGGCCCGGAUCUGACGCUGAGGCGCGAAAGCGUGGGGAGCAAACAGGAUUAGAUACCCGCGUAGUCCCUGUCUCUUAUAC
rnacentral:rRNA from 1 species